CAGGGAGUAGUUUAAUUAAAAUAUUAGUUUUGGAUAUUAAAGAUAUAAAUAUUUUUCUCUGA
rnacentral:tRNA from 1 species